GUGGGGAAUUUUGGACAAUGGGCGCAAGCCUGAUCCAGCAAUGCCGCGUGCAGGAAGAAGGCCUUCGGGUUGUAAACUGCUUUUGUACGGAACGAAACGGUCCGGGUUAAUACCCUGGGCUAAUGACGGUACCGUAAGAAUAAGCACCGGCUAACUACGUGCCAGCAGCCGCGGUAAUACGUAGGGUGCAAGCGUUAAUCGGAAUUACUGGGCGUAAAGCGUGCGCAGGCGGUUUUGUAAGACAGGCGUGAAAUCCCCGGGCUCAACCUGGGAAUUGCGCUUGGGACUGCAAGACUGGAGUGCGGCAGAAGGGGAUGGAAUUCCGCGUGUAGCAGUGAAAUGCGUAGAUAUGCGGAGGAACACCGAUGGCGAAGGCAAUCCCCUGGGCCUGCACUGACGCUCAUGCACGAAAGCGUGGGGAGCAAACAGGAUUAGAAACCCGUGUAGUCC
rnacentral:rRNA from 1 species